rnacentral:rRNA from 1 species
CCUACGGGAGGUAGCAGUGAGGAAUAUUGGUCAAUGGACGGAAGUCUGAACCAGCCAUGCCGCGUGCAGGAAGACGGCUCUAUGAGUUGUAAACUGCUUUUGUACAAGGGUAAACCUGAAUACGUGUAUUCAGCUGAAAGUACUGUACGAAUAAGGAUCGGCUAACUACGUGCCAGCAGCCGCGGUAAUUCGGAGGAUACAAGCGUUAUCCGGAUUUAUUGGGUUUAAAGGGUGCGUAGGCGGAUUGAUAAGUUAGAGGUGAAAUGUCCGGGCUUAACUCGGGAACUGCCUCUAAUACUGUUGAUCUAGAGAGUAGGUGCGGUAGGCGGAAUGUAUGGUGUAGCGGUGAAAUGCAUAGAGAUCAUACAGAACACCGAUUGCGAAGGCAGCUUACCAAUCUAUAUCUGACGUUGAGGCACGAAAGCGUGGGGAGCGAACAGGAUUAGAUACCCCGGUAGUC